UACGAAGGGGGCUAGCGUUGCUCGGAAUCACUGGGCGUAAAGCGCACGUAGGCGGUUUGUUAAGUCCGGGGUGAAAUCCUGGAGCUCAACUCCAGAACUGCCUUUGAUACUGGCGAUCUUGAGUCCGGGAGAGGUGAGUGGAACUGCGAGUGUAGAGGUGAAAUUCGUAGAUAUUCGCAAGAACACCAGUGGCGAAGGCGGCUCACUGGCCCGAUACUGACGCUGAGGUGCGAAAGCGUGGGGAGCAAACAGG
rnacentral:rRNA from 1 species